rnacentral:rRNA from 1 species
CAGGAGCAGCGCCUCCUGUCCCCCGCUGAAUUUCAGUUACGCAAACAGCUGAAACUCCAGGUCUUGGGGCUGGCGGCGAUUGAGCGGGCAAGGAGGAGGCAGGCAUCACGCGUGCUCUGGCUGAAGGCGGGCGAUGCCAGCACGCGGUUCUUCCACGCAGAGAUCUGCUCUUGGAGAAGGCGCAAUUUCAUUCAUUCACUCACCACGGCCAGCCGCACUGCUACUGCUCACGAGGACAAGGCCAACAUUAUCCAUGAUCACUUC